AGCGAACGCUGGCGGCGUGCCUAACACAUGCAAGUCGAACGUGAAAGGGAGCAAUCCUGAGUAAAGUGGCGUACGGGUGAGUAAUGCGUAGGUAAUCUAACUUUUAGUUUGGAAUAACCUGCCGAAAGGCGGGCUAAUACUGGAUAGGUCGAAGGGGCUAUAGAGGUCACUUCGGGAAAGGGAGCUAGCAAUAGCCCUCGCUAAAAGUUGAGCUUACGUUCCAUUAGGUAGUUGGUGGGGUAAAGGCCCACCAAGCCAACGAUCUGUAGCUGGUCUGAGAGGACGACCAGCCACACUGGAACUGAGACACGGUCCAGACUCCUACGGGAGGCAGCAGUGGGGAAUUUUGGACAAUGGGCGAAAGCCUGAUCCAGCCAUUCCGCGUGCAGGAUGAAGGCCCUCGGGUUGUAAACUGCUUUUGUACAGAACGAAAAGGUUUCUACUAAUACUAGGAGCUCAUGACGGUACUGUAAGAAUAAGCACCGGCUAACUACGUGCCAGCCGCCGCAGUAA
rnacentral:rRNA from 1 species